UUUCUGCAUCCCUGUGGCUGAGACAUUGUGAUAGAAAGCGAGUCUCAUAGGGAAAUAUUUUCGAGAGGGCAUCAUCGGGGCUGUCACUUGCCUUCAAACCUGUGUUCUCCGGCUUUGUGUUACUAGAAUCAUCGGAGGUGAGGUGUGAGCGGGCUGGUGGAAGGAAGGGUGAGCUGCUUUUAACGUCUGUGUGGUGAUAUUCAUCAUGCUGCUUAAAUUUGUAUCUGGAAAAAAUUCUGUUUGGUGAUAGUUAGCAAUGUUUUGUGCAAUGUGGAACAUAUGGCUGGGCAGAAAUUAAGUGAUGCUCUUUCAUUCUUAAUUUGUAAUUAUUUUUACACUCAACCAUACUGAGGUCAGUGAGUUUUAAAAAUUAAUGAGAUUCCCCAUGGAGUUCAAAUAGUAAUAUCUACGUGAGCUGCCAGAAAAAAUACGAUUGUGCUGGUGUGUAUUUUUGCCAUAGAUUUAGCUGUCUUAUUUUGAACACACUCCAUUUGAAAUCUAUGAAAUGUACAAUAGUUUAUGAGACUUGCUGUGAUUUGGGAGAUUGCUGCUUAAUUAUUAUUUAAUAGCCAGGAGACAUUGAGUGAAGAUUAAAGUGUUAAGGAUGGACACUGGGUGUGGAGGUAUUACUAAAACUUCGUAGACAUUGUUAUAACAAUAGAGAAUACCUGGUACUUUCGAGGAAAUGACAUACAAUGAAUGAGCUGCACGCUCCAAAAAAAUCUGCAAAUGUGUUUUCAUUUUAAAGUAAUAUAUAAAAACUCAGCAGAUAUUUAGGGUGAAAAAUUGUUGGUGUGAACAAAGGAGCAAGUGUACACAGAGAUGAGAAUUCUUUGUCACAAAAAUGAGUCCAGGGCAUGGAUUUAGGAGGUCAAAUGAUUUUUAUGUUCUCUGUGCUCCACAAAGAGAGUGUAUUGGGAUGAGUUCCAGGCAUUUAAAAUGUACUGAAAACUUUCAAUUCCCACAAUUUAAAGGCAUUGUUUAUGUUCCUGAUACCACACAUUGUUCAAAUGAGAGGGAUGGGGGAAAGCAGUGUGAAUAUACAGUAAUGGGGCUAAAGAUGUUUUUUAUCCCUGUUCCCCCAUUUACAAGACCCAUUGGGGCUUCCUGUGAUAUAUUGUUAUGUAAAUACUGUGCAGCCAGGGAAAGCAGCACUAUGGAGAUUCAAUUUACUUUGAAAGUUGUUCAUUAUAGCAGGGAUGAAUGUUAUUUAUUUGAUGUGAUUCAAAGGCUGGAAAUGACUUUUUCAUUGUGGCACCUUUUGUAAUGGGUGCAGGGUGAUCUAAUCUUUUUAAUUUUGGCUUUCACACCAGUGGAGAUGAAAAGAGAUCUGAACUCAUUUAUUGGUUGCUAGGUCCUCCUGGAGGCCUAAGUUCUGUUGGUGGUUGCUAUGGCCAGUCUGACCUCAAUCUCUGUGGUUUUGGGGACUUAAGCAGUCUCUUUUUUUUUUUUAAUUGAGGAGCAUGUACCUUGAUUUAUGUCCAAAAUUGUGGCUGAAUGUCUUUGUCUGGGAGUAAUAAAUGGUGCUCAGCAAUUCAUCAGUUCUUACAAGUAAACAUGACUGUCGGACUAAAAAUAUGUUUUGUUCUGAGUUAAUGGUAUGGAACAAGGCAUUCUCCACAAACAGCUGUCUUUUAUUGCGGAGGGGCCACUGAAACUUGGAGCAAAGUGGAGGAAAUUGGCAUUCAUUUAGUUGGCCAUUAGCAUUUCAUUUGUGAUUCCGAUGAUGUGGCUUAGGUGGAUAGAAGACGGAGGGUGAGCCUUCCAUUUCCUCACCUUCUCCCUAGCAGGGGCUGCCUCAAUGCCUGGAUUUGGUUGGAGCAAGAAGUCAGGAGGAGUUUUUCUGCCAGUGUUGGCCUCUGUCUGCUUCGCCAAGUGCUGAGGCACAGACAGGCAGAUGUGCUGUGUGUGGCUCAGCCACGGGCGGCUCUGUCGCUCUCAGCCGCGGGGGGCUGGCUCUCUGAGGGAAAGUUGAGUCCCGGGUUGGUGACUCCCAGGAAUGCUCUGUAUGUGUGCCACUUAAUGGUCCCCGGACUUCCUUGCAUUCUAGACCCUCCUUAGAAAGGAGAUGCAGUGAUUAAGAGGCAAUGGAGUCCACAGCCGCAUUCAGCAGAUGAGCCCUAAUACAUUUCCCGUCCCCUUAAAUCUACUAAUUGAUGGGAGCUGCAGGGAACAUACACUCUGCUAAUAAGAUGAAGAUGACAGAAUAGGUAUCAGGGAGGCCAUUUAUUGCUUAUAAGCACUAUCAGCUUUCUUCUGAGAGAGACUGCGGCUUCGUAAGGCAGGUUUUUUUUUAAAGUAUUAUGCUAAUGGUUUUUUAUUCCAAGUCGGCCAGCACUGAGUAUCUUCAAGAAAAUGGGAUCCAUAAGAAGUGACACCCUCCUCCAACAGAAAGAUUCUCAUACUGAUGGAGUAGGUGAUGAAGUGGGUUCCCAACUGUAGCUGCUUCACUCAACGCAGAAUGACUGCAGGGGAUAUAUUCAGACAUGCCCAAAGAAGUCUUCCCAGGGUGAAACAAAUACCUUUGAGGUUUAAAUCAGGAAGGAGAGGCUGUUUCUACAGGUGUUAUAGAAAAAUCAAUACUGAGCCACGGAUUAUUGGAUCCCAUAGAACCAUGGAGACUUGGCAGUGAAAUUCUUCCAAAGCUUCUUCUAGGUUUUUCAGAGCUGCAAAACUGUACCUAGUGCAUGGAUCAUCUGACUGCAUGGCUUAGCAUUCCAUCCAUGUAGGCAGACAGUGUUCCUAGGUUGGAAAGUAUAAGUCCCAUGGGAAGUCAGCUGAAGAACAUUUCCUGCAUCUCUCAUCCUAUUAUGAGACCUGUGCUAUUCCAUCUCUCUACAAGUGGAAAAUUCUCAUUCUUUUUUCCUUCACCUGGAUUUUUCACACUGGCUGAGACAACAAAACUUGUUUACAAUUUAUACUCUGGAUCACCAGUUAAUACCCUGACUCUGACCCAAAGACAAUGUUCUGUAAACAAGUGCUAUGUGUUAUGAAGAUGCUACUGCAUUAUUAAUAAAAUAAUUGGAAAGUGCAAGAUUUUGGAUUUCCCAUCUGAUGAGAUCCAUCUCUCUUCUGUUUCCCCUGGGCUCCUCUCUUGUGUUCCAGUUGGCAGUUAAAGGACAGCAGCAGCAGUCAGACCGCCUGGCUCCAUUUUCCCAGUGCCACCGACUGGGAGUUAAGCUGACUAACGUUUUGAAAGCCCGGCCCAUUUCGUUCUCAGUGGGACAGCAGGAGUUAACACAGGGAAGAAAUUGUACCCUGAUUGCAUAUUCACAUUUUAUCUCAGGACUGAGAAAUGUUAAAUGUUGUUCAACUCUUCAAGUGGGUGAGUGAUGGCACACUUCAGCUGGCUAAUAUCAUAAUUAACAAAGUUGUUUCUACACUGGUAAAGUUUAAUCGGAAAAUUUACCAGGGAUAUGAUGGCAUUGUCAUGAAGAUCACAAGGGACACAGGGACAAGGAGUCGACUUUUGCUCAAGGCUGAACGGCAAGAUGAGAAACUGCAAACUUGGAAGGCAAAGGAAAUAAUAUGCUCUGGAGAAUCCUGUAAUUCAAAGAAAAUGGACUGGGAUAACAUUUGGCUUCUCAUACUACCAAAAUCCUCUUGAGAAGGACAGCCAGGAGGCUAAUAAUGAAGGGGCCAGGGAAGGAGGCCAAUGCUACAAGGGUUAUCUCACAACCUCAGAUGCUGGGUAAGUCGAAGGAGACAGAAUCGCUUCUGGAUGACAUUCAGAAGGCCGGAGCGAUUAUUUGGGAGAGAAAAGCCUGCCCUAUUCUUUACGAGGUGCGUGCAUAUCCCCUGACCUGCCCAUCCACUGGUCCAGUGAUGAAUUAUUCGAAACCUGCUUAGACAAAGGCUGCCCUUGGAGCCCCACCACACCCCAAACCACGCUUUGAAGGAUCUGCCAAGCUCACUUUUAAUCAUGAAAAAGAAAUUACCCACAUGGAGACAGCAGAAAAUGAGAAAGUUGAGCUCGUGCUGCGAAUAAUUCCAGCGAGUGCCAAGGGGCUAGUUGAGGAAUGACUUCAUGAGGUGAAUAUCUUUAGCUUGUACUUAGGGUUUGGUUAGCGUAUAAUCGUUUUCUCUUUUAGGAGCAUUGACUAUCCUAAGUGUAUUUCCUAACCAGUGCUCAGGGCAUCUGUCAGGACAUUGACAGAUUUAAUCCUGGUCUCGCCCUUGUUGUUAUUUACGAUGACUAAUUUUACAUUUGCAAAUAUGCAGAAAUCAAUUUAGGUGGAAAGUUCUCUCUGAGCCUGUGACGGUUCCCAGAUGCCUGUAUUCGUGUGCAUUGCUGUGAGUGUCUGUCCGGUGAUCUCUGUCCCUGUGUGUGCCUGCCUGUGCCCUUGUUCUUGUCUUUUCUCUGUUGUGAACACAGGUUGGGAGAAUUAGCCAACUGAUGGGUACUCAAAUGUGAUCCAAAGUUUUUCAUUUGAGUUUGGAACAGAAAAAAAAAAAAAACAGGAAUAUAUAUCACUUCAUGAUUAAUGGUCAAUCUGAAUUUUUAAUUCAUGUGAAAGGAGAAAGAGGAGGAGAUAUGAAUCAAAUGACAGGACUGACCUUUUCCCUUUGGGACAAGCAUGAUUCAAAUCAAACAUCACUUUUGCUGUGAAAUUAGUUUGAAGUCCUUUUGUUUGCUUUUUUUCUUUCUUU